rnacentral:rRNA from 1 species
AACGAACGCUGGCGGCAUGCCUAACACAUGCAAGUCGAACGAGACCUUCGGGUCUAGUGGCGCACGGGUGCGUAACGCGUGGGAACCUGCCCUUAGGUUCGGAAUAACUCCCCGAAAGGGGUGCUAAUACCGGAUAAUGUCUUCGGACCAAAGAUUUAUCGCCUUUGGAUGGGCCCGCGUUGGAUUAGCUUGUUGGUAGGGUAAAAGCCUACCAAGGCGACGAUCCAUAGCUGGUCUGAGAGGAUGAUCAGCCACACUGGGACUGAGACACGGCCCAGACUACUACGGGAGGCAGCAGUGGGGAAUAUUGGACAAUGGGCGAAAGCCUGAUCAAGCAAUGCCGCGUGAGUGAUGAAGGCCUUAGGGUUGUAAAGCUCUUUUACCCGGGAUGAUAAUGACAGUACCGGGAGAAUAAGCUCCGGCUAACUCCGUG